AGGACACACAUUAAUUAUCCCUGGGGCCAUGGGAUAAACAAGAACUCUAUGAAACCAAGUUAACAUACCCUACAAUGGUUCUAGCUCGAUUACUAACCUAUGGCUCUAAUACCAGUUGAUGGAAAAAAUCC
rnacentral:pre_miRNA from 1 species